AACGCACGAGACCUGCGGACCUGCGGAGGGAUCAUUAAUGAGAAGCUGCCCCUCGUGGGUAGACCUCCCACCCUCUGUGAACUUACCUUUGUUGCUUUGGCAGGCCCGUCCUCUGGACCGCCGGCUUCGGCUGGCCCGUGCCUGCCAGAGGAUUCCAAACCCUGUCUGUCAGUGUUGCCUGAGUCUAUAUGAAAUCGUUAAAACUUUCAGCAAUGGAUCUCUAGAUCGGAAGAGCACACG
rnacentral:misc_RNA from 1 species